GGGGAUUUAGCUCAGUGGCAUAAGUGCCUGCUUGACAAGCACGAGGUCAUGAGUUCAAUCCCCA
rnacentral:tRNA from 1 species